GAUGAACGCUGGCGGCGUGCCUAAUACAUGCAAGUCGAGCGAACAGACGAGGAGCUUGCUCCUCUGACGUUAGCGGCGGACGGGUGAGUAACACGUGGAUAACCUACCUAUAAGACUGGGAUAACUUCGGGAAACCGGAGCUAAUACCGGAUAAUAUAUUGAACCGCAUGGUUCAAUAGUGAAAGACGGCUUUGCUGUCACUUAUAGAUGGAUCCGCGCCGGAUUAGCUAGUUGGUAAGGUAACGGCUUACCAAGGCAACGAUGCGUAGCCGACCUGAGAGGGUGAUCGGCCACACUGGAACUGAGACACGGUCCAGACUCCUACGGGAGGCAGCAGUAGGGAAUCUUCCGCAAUGGGCGAAAGCCUGACGGAGCAACGCCGCGUGAGUGAUGAAGGUCUUCGGAUCGUAAAACUCUGUUAUUAGGGAAGAACAAAUGUGUAAGUAACUAUGCACGUCUUGACGGUACCUAAUCAGAAAGCCACGGCUAACUACGUG
rnacentral:rRNA from 1 species